rfam:Sorghum bicolor cultivar BTx623 chromosome 10, whole genome shotgun sequence.
GUAAUCGGAUUCACGUCAAUCCACAUAUGUUGAGGUGGAUUGGAGUAAAACUUAACUAAAUUCCACCCUGAUCCACUCCAAGACAUGUGGAUUGAGGUGAAUACGACA